UAGAGAAGCUUAGUGCCUUCGGGAACUCUGAGACAGGUGCUGCAUGGCUGUCGUCAGCUCGUGUUGUGAAAUGUUGGGUUAAGUCCCGCAACGAGCGCAACCCUUAUCCUUUGUUGCCAGCACGUAAUGGUGGGAACUCAAAGGAGACUGCCGGUGAUAAACCGGAGGAAGGUGGGGAUGACGUCAAGUCAUCAUGGCCCUUACGAGUAGGGCUACACACGUGCUACAAUGGCGUAUACAAAGAGAAGCGAACUCGCGAGAGCCAGCGGACCUCAUAAAGUACGUCGUAGUCCGGAUCGGAGUCUGCAACUCGACUCCGUGAAGUCGGAAUCGCUAGUAAUCGUAGAUCAGAAUGCUACGGUGAAUACGUUCCCGGGUCU
rnacentral:rRNA from 1 species